GUCAGCUCUUGGGGGUCAGCCCUUGGUGAGGUCAGCUCUUGGAGGUCAACCCUUGGAGGUCAACCCUUGGAGGUCAGCUGCUCUGCAGCACAGCCGUUUGUCUCCGGUCCCAAAUCUCUGCCUAAAAUCUGUGCGGUGUCUUUCUUCUGUAAUGCUGAAGAAGCUGUUCCAAGGUACAGUGCGCCUUUGGAGAGUGUUUACACUGAGAUCUGAUGAAAUACACAUAAAGUGGUAAUUGUAGGAGAAGCGAUAGGACGUUUCAGUAAAUAGAGCAUAAAGGAGCGCUCUGCAUUUCAUUCCAACCCCACGUUUCGUUCUGGAAUCGCAUUCCAU
ensembl:lncRNA